AUGUUGUGUAAUAAAAUGAUGUAUGAUGUUUUGUGUCGAAAAUUCUUGACAAUUUGAUGUGAAUUUAAUGCUCUAACGACUGCUCUUAAAAUAGUCAUCAUAAAUUCAUAUUCAACUUAAAAGAUUAAAAAUAUUCAUAUGUGGAAUAAAAAAAACAAAAAUAAACGACGAUAAAGUAACUGUAAAAUAAAAAAAAAGUCGUUGAAGGUAUAUACCUCAUCAUCCUUAUACAUAUUGAGAAAACGAUUUAUUAUGGUAAUUUGUAAGAGUAGAUCUACAUCAGCAGUGUUCUUAAAACUGCAUUGUUUAUUGUUUCUAGAUUUGAUAGAAUUAAUAUUAUUGCCACUCCAGUAAAAUAUACUGUAAUCACGAUGACAGGGGCGUAUUUAGAAAUGUCUAAUGGGGGGGGGGGGCACAAACAAAAAGUUCACAUCAGCGUAGGUACAUGGGAUGCACUGUGAGCCUAAAAAAACUAAUACUCUUUAUAGUAAAAAAAAGUAUAAAAUACGGUGAAUGGGAGAGGUUAGCUGGGCACUGGCCUCAUAGACCCCCCUUAAACACGCUCCUACACGAUGGCGUAAUCAUGUGAAACACCUACACGAAGUUUUCGAUUUAUAAUUAAAAAAUUUUCAAAUUAUUUUAUAUAAUGAUGGACUUACUCGGAGUCUGGAGAAAACGGAGUCGUUGCAUUUUCAUUUUUAGGGAAACUAUAAAUUUCGGGUAGGACGACGUGGCCGAAGUGAUCCAAUUAAAACGCCCCCCUACCCCGCAGAAACCGCUUCGACGUUAAGACAAAAUAUACAAACCAAUAAAUAGCAUCGAUUCUCCGAAAUAAGUAAAUAACUUCCUAUACCAUUAUAAUGUUAUGUAUCAAUUAUAUUAUUGUUUAUUCUCCAGUCCCAAGAGGCGGAUUUUUUCGUCACGUGGGAAGUUUUCAGGACGCGCAUGAAGUACGGUAGCUAUACGACUGUAGGCUAUGAGAGCAGUGCCAGUUAUAUGUGAUGUUCAAGGGGGUACGAAAAUAAAUCCAACCCUCAUCUAAAUUAACAUUUUCAAACAUAAAUAUUAUAAUAAUAUACCAUAGUGAUCAGUCGAUCGCAACUUUUUAUUUUGAUCGACAACCUAAAAAAAACCCAAAAGUCCAUAAAAGUCGGUCACCCCUGGUAUAUACCUACAUAUAAUAUAUAAAAUAUUAUACAUAAUCAAAUCCCAGAUUAGGUAUCGCCUCCUCCCCUACAAUCACCCCCUGGCAGAGUAUGUAUCACAAUUAUUCGGGUAUUAUGCAUAUAUGUAUAGAUGGGUAUUAUAGUACGGUUGACAAGAGUGAUCUUUUACCCGGCGGAUGAUGAUGUAUUAUAAAUAGAACUGUUUUUGGUUUCAUGACACUGCAACGCGACGGUCGUUUCGGCCAGAACGCCAUAUUAUUAUUAUUAUUAUUAUUUUAAUCGUCCCGUUGUUCCACAGUUGUCGCGAAACGAAAAAUAAUCGACCGAUGGAAUCUGCCGAGCGAAACAAAGCGCGAUCCACGCUCGAUCGCCACCACGCUGCGGUUUUAUUUAUUAUAUUAUGUACGCGUGAUGGGCGGAAAUGGGUUUUGUGCGGCCGAUUCACCAGAAAUCGUGGCCCGGAGCGCUUCUAAUGGGGAUACCGUGUUAUAAAGAUAACAAAAUAAACUCGAUGGAAGUUUUCCCAUUGAACGGCCAUCGACGCAGUGCCGAACAGUUCGUAAUGCAAUACUUACAACAAGGACCCGGUUAUGCCGGUGCAAAAUGGCCGUAACUCGAAAAACUCAAAUCUUACGUGUAAACGCAUAAUAAUUAAUAGAACUUCUAUUUCUACCUACAAUUUCGAAAAAAAAAAAAGAAAAGAGCUUUGCUAUGAGAAACCGUUUAAUCGAUACAAUAAUAGCAAGUUAAAAGCCAUGCAGUAAAGUACCUAUAACAGCUCUAUUACAAUAAAAUAUUAAUCAAAUAAAUCAGGAAAAUUUCUCCAUAGAAAUACGUGGUAAUUAUUGUUUCUGCAAUUGUACUGAUUGUUUUUAUAAAAUUUAAUAAUUGCUUA